rnacentral:rRNA from 1 species
GUGUCAGCAUCAUAUGCUGGCUGUCUAGGUGUGUAAAAUACACCUGUUAGCAAGGGCCGGGCAAGACCGGUGCCAGCCGCCGCGGUAACACCGGCGGCCCGAGUGGUGAUCGUGAUUAUUGGGUCUAAAGGGUCCGUAGCCGGUUUGGUCAGUCCUCCGGGAAAUCUGAUAGCUUAACUAUUAGGCUUUCGGGGGAUACUGCCAGACUUGGAACCGGGAGAGGUAAGAGGUACUACAGGGGUAGGAGUGAAAUCUUGUAAUCCCUGUGAGACCACCUGUGGCGAAGGCGUCUUACCAGAACGGGUUCGACGGUGAGGGACGAAAGCUGGGGGCACGAACCGGAUUAGAUACCCGGGUAGUCCCAGCCGUAAACGAUGCUCGCUAGGUGUCAGGCAUGGCGCGACCGUGUCUGGUGCCGCAGGGAAGCCGUGAAGCGAGCCACCUGGGAAGUACGGCCGCAAGGCUGAAACU